UACGUAGGGGGCAAGCGUUACUCGGAAUUACUGGGCGUAAAGCGUGCGUAGGUGGUUUGUUAAGUCUGCUGUGAAAGCCCCGGGCUCAACCUGGGAAUGGCAGUGGAUACUGGCAAGCUAGAGUGCGGUAGAGGGUAGUGGAAUUUCCGGUGUAGCGGUGAAAUGCGUAGAGAUCGGGAGGAACACCAGUGGCGAAGGCGGCUACCUGGACCAGCACUGACACUCAGGCACGAAAGCGUGGGGAGCAAACAGG
rnacentral:rRNA from 1 species